rnacentral:rRNA from 1 species
CGCAUCUGUGCAUGCAGCAUAUCAAUAAGCGGAGGAAAAGAAACUAACAAGGAUUCCCUUAGUAACGGCGAGUGAAGCGGGAAGAGCUCAAAUUUGAAAUCUUCAAGGUUUUACCUUGACGAAUUGUAGUUUAAAGAAGUGUUUUCUGUUGAAGUUUUGGUAAAAGUUCUUUGGAAUAGGACAUCAUAGAGGGUGAGAAUCCCGUAUUUGACCAUUAUUUUCAGCUGUGUGAUACACUUUCAAAGAGUCGGAUUGUUUGGGAAUGCAGUCCAAAAUGGGUGGUAAAUUUCAUCUAAAGCUAAAUAUUGGCGAGAGACCGAUAGCGAACAAGUACCGUGAGGGAAAGAUGAAAAGAACUUUGAAAAGAGAGUUAAACAGUACGUGAAAUUGUCAAAAGGGAAGCGUUUGACACCAGUGUUGUUUUCUCGAAAAUCAAUUAAAAAGAGUUGGAUUUUGUGUUGUAUUGACCUUAACAGCUUGCUUCACUCUUUUCCAGCUUUUUUUAAUGCACUUUUCGUUUAACAAGUCAACAUCAGUUUCUUUUGUUGUAAAAGGGUCAUUGGAAGGUGGCUUUCUCUUCGGAGAAAGUGUUUAUAGCCUUUGAUCUCUGCAAUCGGAGAGACUGAGGUCUGCAGCGUAGAUCCUUCGGGGUUAGAUACAUUUGUGCUAAGCUACAGCUUUUCAUAGACAACUUGUUGACUAUGUUUAGUCUUGUGACUUACCCGCUUAUGCUAUUUUACCUACGCUUAGGAUGUUGAUAUGCAUGACUGAUAU